UCAAAACGACUCUCGGCAACGGAUAUCUCGGCUCUUGCAUCGAUUAAGAACGUANCGAAAUGCGAUACUUGGUGUGAAUUGCAGAAUCCCGUGAACCAUCGAGUCUUUGAACGCAAGUUGCGCCCGAAGCCAUUAGGCCGAGGGCACGUCUGCCUNGGCGUCAC
rnacentral:rRNA from 1 species